CCCAGUAAAAACAGGGAGGCAGGUGGUUGGUUUUGGUCAUUUAUAGUUUGACAUGGUGCUGGGAGCCGGUUACCAACACCCCAGCGAAGAAACGUCCCUCCCCCCGCCCGGUGAGCAGGAUGACCCCCAGCAGGGGGUGAGAGAGAAGCCCGGGGGGGGGAGGGAGGGAGAGGGCAGGACAGGAGCCGCCCCCGCUCCCCCCGUGUCUGGCUUUGCCUCAGAGUCAGGACCAUACACCCCACAUCCCACCUCCCCACAGGGGCCCCCGAAUGAACCCGAUCUCCCCCUGGCCCCACUCAGGCGGGUGGUGGGGGCAACAGGAGCCUGGGGGUGCACCCCCCAGAGGAGCAGCCACACACUGUGGGGGGGUCAAUUAGCCACUCCUCCUCCCUUCCUGGGGGGAGGGGUUUUGGGGGGCAGACAGGACCCUGCCCCAGCUGUCAAUCACCUCAUGCCCCACCCCAGGUCAAAGGUCACUGAUGGACACAGGCCCCACCCCCUCAGGAGGCUAGUUCUCAUUCUUUUCAAUCAGGAGAAGAAAAACAAA